GUCGAUCUCCAACAUGAACACACACAAGCACAUACAAAUACAAAAUAUAUAUGAAAUUAAAAGAGAUGGUGAUGCUUCUUCCCAUGAGCUUCUUCAUCCUGUUUCUUGGCUUCUUUCUUCUCAUGAUGUUCAUGAAAGGCAAAUCCCCCAGCACCUACAGUAGCUGCUGCAGCAAUCUCCUCUGCUACCUUGUGCCNNNGGCAUUCUCUGGGUCUUUCUUUGCCUGGUGCUUCUCAUGCAAGGCAUAAGCGCCAGCAGCAACAGCACCAAGCCCACCGAGUUGCUCGAGAUGCUUGUGGUGCUUCUCCUCCUUCUCGAAGUCAACAGGUUCAUCGCCUUCCUUGUGAUGGUGGAAGUGGUGGUGGUGCUUAUUCUCUUCGGCCAUAGUUGUGGUAUUGGUGAUGAAAAAUUAU
rnacentral:misc_RNA from 1 species